GCUUCCGAGCGGUCGCUCCCUCGCGAGGUGCCGCGGGUCAGCGGCUGACGCCAGCCACCUUCCCGACCCGUCUUGAAACACGGACCAAGGAGUCUAACAUGUGCGCGAGCCGCGGGGCAGUACGAAACCCGUAAGGCGAAAUGAAGGUGAACGCCGGCGCGGUCCGGCGGAGGUUGGAUCCCGUCCCGUCGGGGCGGGCGCACUACCGGCCGAUCUUCUCCGCCCUGUCGGCGAGGUCGAGCGAGAGCGUGCAAGUCGGGACCCGAAAGAUGGUGAACUAUGCCUGAGGAGGUUGAAGCCAGAGGAAACUCUGGUGGAGGACCGUAGCGAUUCUGACGUGCAAAUCGAUCGUCAAAUUUGGGUAUAGGGGCGAAAGACUAAUCGAACCGUCUAGUAGCUGGUUCCCUUCGAAGUUUCCCUCAGGAUAGCUGGCGCUCUGUCGCAGUUUUAUCUGGUAAAGCGAAUGAUUAGAGGUCUUGGGGGCGAAACGCCCUCAACCUAUUCUCAAACUUUAAAUUGGUAAGAAGCCCGACUCGCUCGUUUGGAGCCGGGCAUGGAAUGCGAGUGCCAAGUGGGCCACUCUUGGUAAGCAGGACUGGCGAUGCGGGAUGAACCGAACGCCGGGUUAAGGCGCUGACGCGACGCUAAUCAAUUUCGACUGAACCCCUUUCGACUGAACUCCUUUCGACUGAACCACUUACACUGAACCCUAUUCAAUUAGGAAUGUACAAUAUAAAAUAAUUAACUAUUCUAGAAUAAUAUCGAAUCAAGAAUUUCGAAUACUAUUCUAGAUGUUU
rfam:Ciona savignyi cont_46425, whole genome shotgun sequence.